CCUACGGGGAGCAGCAGUGAGGAAUAUUGGUCACUGGGCGAGAGCCUGAACCAGCCAAGUCGCGUGAAGGAUUAAGGAUCUAUGGUUUGUAAACGUCUUUUAUAUGGGAAUAAAGUGAGGAACGUGUUCCUUUUUGUAUGUACCAUAUGAAUAAGCAUUGGUUUAACACGUGCCAGCAGCCGCGGUAAUACUGAGGAGGCGAGCGUUAUCCGGAUUUAUUUGGUUUAAAGGGUGCGUAUGUGGUUAAUUAAGUCGGCGGUGAAAGUUUGUGGCUCAAACAUAAAAUUGCCGUUGAAACUGGUUGACUUGAGUAUACUUGAGGUAGGCGGAAUGCGUGGUGUAGCGGUGAAAUGCAUAGAUAUCACGCAGAACUCCGAUUGCGAAGGCAGCUUACUAACCUAUAACUGACACUGAAGCACGAAAGCGUGGGGAUCAAACAGGAUUAGAUACCCGAGUAGUC
rnacentral:rRNA from 1 species